UGUCUCAUCUAGUGCUUAUCCUCCGCUCCAACAGUUCUUGCCACCAAAUUCUUCUGUGGCACGCCGGUACCAGGCCAAGUCAUGCAACAGCAUAGCAUAGAAUUCCAGUACCUUUCAUUUAGUCUUAGGUCACCUCUUGCGCUUAUAGGACUUCCA